rnacentral:lncRNA from 1 species
GCUAUACCAAACAUGCUCUACAGACCAGCAACUCAGCUCUCCGCGAUGCUUGGGCUCUGCUCUGCCCACCCAAACGCGUGCCCCCCACGCACACACGAAUUCGGCGUGAAUUUAGGCACAAGCACCAAGAAAUCGGGGGAAAAAGGUAAAGAUCUGCGCCUCUGGUGGUGUCCUGCGCGCCUCUCGUUUUUUUUUUUCUUGUUUUUAUUUUUGGUGGAGCUUUCCUAGGAUUCGGUUUGGUUGAGAUUUUGAUUGCUUAGCUUGUGACGCGUCCAUCCUCAGCCGUCCAUACCUUUUCUUUUUUGUUGUAUUUUGAAAAUAUUUGUCCGCAUUAAAAAAAGAUAGUAGUAGUACGAACUUAAAUGAAAACAAAAAGAAAAUCACGUAAAUAUCAAAUCAUUCCAUUCAUUUCAUUUCACUCCAUCAAUAAACCAACCAAUCUCCAAGUCCACUUUGUUUUUUUUCCUCUUUAAAGAAAAACAAAAGAAAAAUACAUUCCUCCAUUUCCGCGUGAAGCGUCUGGAUCGAGAGUCUAGAGGCUAACUCUAGACGACGGCGUAGAGGAUGAUCUCCGCGGUGUCGGCGGCGGCCCGGGGCAUCCUCUUCGCGGCGAAGCCCGCGCAGCCGCCGCCGCCGCCGUCGGCCGAACCGGCGGCGGCGGAGGAAGACGGCGACGAGGAGGAGGACGGCGGCGGGUGGUAGUACAUCCUCGCCGUCUGCGGGCAGUGGGAGUGGAACCGCGCGGCGAUGCGCACCCCCAUGUCGAGCAGCUCCACGUACUUCCCCAUCGAUCUAUAUUCCCCUUCUUCCUCUCGGAUCUCCUUCCCUGCCAAAUAAAAUCAACGAAUCCCUCCCUGGCCUGCUCCUCCUACGAAUCAGCAGCUGUGGAUGCGAGCGGUGGGUGGCGCUAUUGCCUUGCUGUGGUUGCUUCGUGGAAGGAGGUGUCCCACGAGCUGGGAGCUGCCAUGGGAGGCGGAGGCGGAAGAAGAAGCGAUUUCUUUGGGGAGGAGAGAGUUGGAGGAGAGGAGAGGGGGCUUUUAUAGGGGGGAGGAGUCGCUUGAGGCUUGACUUGGAUGGAAGAUUUUUAAUGCGGUGUUGAUUAUUUGCCGUGUUUACUUCUUCCUCUCGCUUGGGCUGGGUUGGCUUGGGUUGGCGUUCGUUUCGUUUGGUUUCUCUCUCUCUCUUUUGUGUGAUUAGCAACGCGUGGAAGUGCUGCGUGACAGAUGCGUUUCUUCGCCUGCCUUUCAGAAAGAAAACGUUUUUGUUUUUUUUAUUUUCGUUUCUUUUCGCCAACUAGGGACUGGAGAGGCAUGCGAUUCCCAUGUUUUUAUUUCAAAAAUCCAAUAAGAGAGCAUGAUUUUUCAUUAACUCUAGAAUAUACUCCCUCCGUUUCAGGUUAUAAGACGUUUUGACUUUGCUUAAAGUUAAACUACUGUAAAUUUGUCUAAUUUUACAGAAAAUAUAUUAAAUUAUAGAUUUAAUGAAACAAUGCUGGUGUUGUAAAUAUUAAUACUUUCUUCUGUAGAAUUAGUCAAAUUUAAAAUAGUUUAACGUCUUAUAACCGGAAACGGAGGGAGUACAUUUUGAAAAAAAAAACACACCGCAUAUCUUUUUUUAAAAGACGACAUCACAUAUUUACCACAACACUGACGUGAGGUUUCUUUUUCUUUACACAUAUGGGCCAUGCGGGAACCUAGAAAUAUAGGAACAAUGGAGAAAUAUUAUAUUAAGAUAUUUUUUUAAAAAAAGAAAGAUUAGGAGCUUUCACUGUGGACUUUUUCAAAUACAAGUUUUAUAUUUAAGCGUAUAGGAAUGUUCAAUGCAUAUGGUUCUAUAGAGCUUAACUAAGAAUGAAUGAUGUCGCCUAGCACAUAUGGUUUGUUCUGAAUCUGGACUACUUUCGUGUGUUUCUAAUUGCAUAGAGAAUAAACUAGAGCUCUUACUUGGUGAAUUUUUCUUUUCCAAAGUCGAUUGUCCCACUAAUAUAUAUUAUCUCUUCAAAAGUACUUCAUCCGUUUCACAAUAUAAGUCAUUCUACAAUUUUCCACAUUCAUAUUAAUGUUAAUGAAUCUAAAUAAAUAUAUAUGUCUAGAUUCAUUAACAUCAAUAUGAAUAUGAAAAUGCUAGAAUGACUUACAUUAAGAAACGGAGAAACGGAGGAAGUAUUUUCUAGGAAUGCAAGCGGGCAGCAUGCUAUCAUGCGUAAGACAUACACAUCAGUUUAUUUUUCACCCACUAGUAUAUAAACAGAUAAAAAAGAUAAUGACAAUUACGGCUUAGUGGGCCUCAAAGCCUACAAACCCGCCUCACUUGCAUCUCUAAUAUUUCUUUUCCAUCAAAGCUUCCGGUGUUAUUUUUUUUUAAAAAAACAAAUGUUGUUUUUCUAAACAAACCACCUCACUGUACACAUGUACAUGUGAUUGAAUUUUACAUGUGUUUUCAAUAGUGUGUAAUAGUAUUUUGUUUUUUUCCUGUUUCUUAAUUUGCACUUUUCAACAACAAAAGAAAUAUAUAUAUUUUGGUUGAAACACAAGGUUGCUACCAAUAAGGAAAGAAAAAACAAAGAUCACUAGUGGAUCCAGUUCCAAGCUAGCAAAGCAGCAAGGCUAGAGGCCGAUAUGUAAACAUGACGAACCAAAAUACCAUGAAAUAGAUUAUGAGACUUGAUUUAUGUUGAAUUGUCGUCUCAUGUCAGCUCUCCUCGCCACCAAUGAAGCUCACCAUACAUAGAGGGUAAAAAAAAAUGAUAUAAUGCAUUCUACCAGUUUCUUUUCUCAAAUUAAGUUUUCGUUGAAAACGACUCAACUGUAACAAAAUAAAAUUCCCAACAAUUCCUACGAACCAUUCCUUCAUCAAUAAAAUACAAGUCUUCUAGCCCCUUUGCACAUUCACAUCCCUAUAAAACACACGCUGUGCUUACUCAUCGUCACAGCAGCAUCUAACUCCCAGUACAUUACAAAAAAAAAGUAAAUAUUACUCAGUUUUCUUUUAAAAAAAACGUAUUCGUAGGUAGGUAUGCGGCUGGUACGUGUUUGCUGGGAAGAUUCCAACUUGCUCCAGUUGCGAUAAAUUUCCAUGUUUAAAUUUCUCGUGUCGUGUAGCACAUAGCCUUUUUAAUUUUCAUUCGUUUUUUGUCAGCUACGGCCUCGCCCAGAUGAAACCUAGCUUGUUUUUUAGGCGAUUUUUGAAAAUGGAAUUUUAUUUGGCAAUAUGGGCUUUUUUUUCGUGGCGCAUAUGCGCGUUUGGUCCACGAAAUAUCCGGCUCGUGGGGUUCCGUUCACACGCGGGCGUCCUACGUGGCGCGUGCUCAGGGUUCGGUGUACUGGACUACUGGGGUGGUGGUUGGUGCGGUUGGCAGUUGUGCUCUCAUCUGGGCCGUCCAAACUGGGAAGCCAUCUCAUCCACUCCAUCCCUUUUGGCUUCUUCGUGUCAUUCCAUUCUCCAACACAACAGUUUGUUAUUAAAAUUGGAGUUUUAAAAGAAAAUUAAAAUCAACGGCUUGUUCCCUUUGUUAUUAAAAUUUGGUACUUACUCCGACUAAUGUUAUGAGACUUUCUAGUAUUGUCCACAUUUAUAUAUAUGUUAAUGAAUCUAGGCAUACAUGUGUGUCUAGAUUCAUUAAGAUCUAUAUGAAUGUGGCCAAUGCUAGAAAGUCUUAUAACCUGAAACAAAGGUAGUACUAAUUUUCAUACCUCCAUCUGAUCCUAAAUAUGAUAAUUUCUAGCUAUGUAUCUGGAUAGGGGCAUAUGCAUAUACAUAAGUAGAAAUUGCUAUAUUUCGAAAUGGAGGUAGUUCAAUUUUGUGUUAUCUUGAAUCUAUUUUAAUUUAGAGCCUUAUCGUAUUUUAUUAAUGUUUUUAUGAGAGAGUUUCUGAAACUACUCGAUUUUACUAUUAAAAUUUAAUAGGUUUGGAACUAAAUCUUACUAUUAAACUUUGAUAGGUUUGGAAGUAGCAAUGAUGUGAACACAACCCAACAGACAGCUGCUGGUGAUUGAUUUGUCUCGAGCUGAACUGGUGCUAAUCAUGCACGGUACUACUCCAGUAGUGAUUUUUG